rnacentral:rRNA from 1 species
UACGAAGGGGGCUAGCGUUGUUCGGAAUUACUGGGCGUAAAGGGCGCGUAGGCGGUGUGUCAAGUCAGGCGUGAAAGCCCCGGGCUCAACCUGGGAACAGCGCUUGAGACUGGCACGCUCGAGUUCGGGAGAGGAUGGUGGAAUUCCCAGUGUAGAGGUGAAAUUCGUAGAUAUUCGGAAGAACACCAGUGGCGAAGGCGACUCACUGGACGACUGUUGACGCUGAGGUGCGAAAGCGUGGGGAGCAAACAGG